rnacentral:rRNA from 1 species
GGGGGUUUCCGCCCCUUAGUGCUGCAGCUAACGCAUUAAGCACUCCGCCUGGGGAGUACGGUCGCAAGACUGAAACUCAAAGGAAUUGACGGGGGCCCGCACAAGCGGUGGAGCAUGUGGUUUAAUUCGAAGCAACGCGAAGAACCUUACCAGGUCUUGACAUACCGUUGACCACUGUAGAGAUAUGGUUUCCCCUUCGGGGGCAACGGUGACAGGUGGUGCAUGGUUGUCGUCAGCUCGUGUCGUGAGAUGUUGGGUUAAGUCCCGCAACGAGCGCAACCCUUGAUCUUAGUUGCCAUCAUUUAGUUGGGCACUCUAAGGUGACUGCCGGUGACAAACCGGAGGAAGGUGGGGAUGACGUCAAAUCAUCAUGCCCCUUAUGACCUGGGCUACACACGUGCUACAAUGGACGAUACAAACGGUUGCCAACUCGCGAGAGGGAGCUAAUCC